rnacentral:misc_RNA from 1 species
GUUUUGGAUUUUUCAUGAUAUUAAUAAAAGACCAAGAAGUUAAUUACAAACUCAGAAUGAAGAAUCUGCAACAAUCUCCUUUAAGAACAAAAAGAACCUCAAAUUAGGUAUUUUCAUCUCUCUUGCAAGAAAAGAUUAAUUAUGUACUCCAAAAAACACAUGAACAUGGUCACACACCCAUGAACAAUUUGAACCAGGGAU